CAGCCGCCGCGGGAAUACGAAGGGGGCUAGCGUUGUUCGGAAUUACUGGGCGUAAAGCGCGCGCAGGCGGUUUUCCAAGUCAGUGGUGAAAGCCCGGAGCUCAACUCCGGAACUGCCAUUGAAACUGUUAAACUUGAGGACGAGAGAGGUGAGUGGAAUUCCCAGUGUAGAGGUGAAAUUCGUAGAUAUUGGGAAGAACACCGGUGGCGAAGGCGGCUCACUGGCUCGUAUCUGACGCUCAGGCGCGAUAGCGUGGGGAUCAAACAGGAUUAGAUACCCGGGUAGUCCCUGUCUCUUAUAC
rnacentral:rRNA from 1 species